UAGGGAAUCUUCGGCAAUGGACGAAAGUCUGACCGAGCAACGCCGCGUGAGUGAAGAAGGUUUUCGGAUCGUAAAACUCUGUUGUUAGAGAAGAACAAGGACGUUAGUAACUGAACGUCCCCUGACGGUAUCUAACCAGAAAGCCACGGCUAACUACGUGCCAGCAGCCGCGGUAAUACGUAGGUGGCAAGCGUUGUCCGGAUUUAUUGGGCGUAAAGCGAGCGCAGGCGGUUUCUUAAGUCUGAUGUGAAAGCCCCCGGCUCAACCGGGGAGGGUCAUUGGAAACUGGGAGACUUGAGUGCAGAAGAGGGGAGUGGAAUUCCAUGUGUAGCGGUGAAAUGCGUAGAUAUAUGGAGGAACACCAGUGGCGAAGGCGGAUCUCUGGUCUGUAACUGACGCUGAGGCUCGAAAGCGUGGGGAGCAAACAGG
rnacentral:rRNA from 1 species